ensembl:lncRNA
UCAAGUUCAGAUCGCCAAGGAGCUGUGUUUUCUCUAUCGCUCCAAGACUUUUGAAAAUGGUGUCACAUUACGAGCUUUUAAGUAGAAUACAUUUUAGACAAUCUCCCAAAGAAAAACAUAGGUUUUGCAAGUGGUUAAUGAAACAAGCUCUACUUCGAAAAUCAAUGAAUUGUCCCUCUUGCUGUCAUCUCAUGAAGUUGAGAAAGCCAUAUGGCACAAAGGAGUCAGCCUGGAUAUGCCGAGAUUCUUGUCACAAAAGGAAAUCAGUCACCAGGUCCAUCCGAAAUGGUUCUCUGUUUGAAAAUUCUCAUGUUGGGCUGCACACAUGGAUGCAUUUCAUAUACAGGUUUGCUCAAGGUCUUCGUUUGCGGCAAGUGGACAUGCUACAGGAAGGGAUAACUGGGAGCUCU